rnacentral:tRNA from 1 species
AAUGAAUUGCCUGAUAAAAGGGUUACCUUGAUAGGGUAAAUAAUGCAAUCAAUAUUGCAUUCAUUA